rnacentral:rRNA from 1 species
GAGACAGCAGUAGCCGCGGUAAUACGUAUGGGGCGAGCGUUGUCCGGAAUUAUUGGGCGUAAAGGGUACGUAGGCGGUUUUUUAAGUCAGGUGUGAAAGCGUGAGGCUUAACCUCAUUAAGCACUUGAAACUGGAAGACUUGAGUGAAGGAGAGGAAAGUGGAAUUCCUAGUGUAGCGGUGUAAUGCGUAGAUAUUAGGAGGAAUACCGGUGGCGAAGGCGACUUUCUGGACUUUUACUGACGCUCAGGUACGAAAGCAUGGGGAGCAAACAGGAUUAGAUACCCGCGUAGUCCCUGUCUCUUAUACA